AAUAGUCUGCCACCGGGUAGAGAAGCGAAAGCAUUCGUUACACAUCGUUAGGUCGUUGAAGAUGUGUAGAUGGAUGCUUUUUAUUUU
rnacentral:ncRNA from 1 species